rnacentral:rRNA from 1 species
CGUGUAGGCGGCGGAUUUAGUUAGGCGUGAAAGCCCCGGGCUCAACCUGGGAACUGCGCUUAAUACUGAUUUGCUAGAGUCCGGGAGAGGCUGGUGGAAUAUCCAGUGUAGAGGUGAAAUUCGUAGAUAUUGGAUGGAACACCGAUGGCGAAGGCAGCCAGCUGGACCGGUACUGACGCUGAGGCGCGAAAGCGUGGGGAGCAAACA